rnacentral:rRNA from 1 species
UACGUAGGGGGCAAGCGUUGUCCGGAUUUAUUGGGUUUAAAGGGUGCGUAGGCGGUCUUUUAAGUCAGUGCUGAAAUAUCCCGGCUUAACCGGGAGGGUGGCAUUGAUACUGAAGGACUUGAGUAAAGUUGAGGUAGGCGGAAUUGACGGUGUAGCGGUGAAAUGCUUAGAUAUCGUCAAGAACACCGAUAGUGUAGACAGCUUACUAAGCUUUAACUGACGCUGAGGCACGAAAGUGUGGGGAUCAAACAGG